rnacentral:rRNA from 1 species
CACGGAGGGUGCAAGCGUUAUUCGGAAUCACUGGGCGUAAAGAGCGCGUAGGCGGGCUCUUAAGUCAGAUGUGAAAGCCCGGGGCUUAACCCCGGAAGUGCAUUUGAAACUAAGGGACUUGAGUAUGGGAGAGGGAAGUGGAAUUCCUGGUGUAGCGGUGAAAUGCGUAGAUAUCAGGAGGAACACCGGUGGCGAUGGCGACUUCCGUGACCAAUACUGACGCUGAGGCGCGAAGGCGUGGGGAGCAAACAGG